rnacentral:rRNA from 1 species
GCGCGGAGCUUGCUCUGGUGGCGAGUGGCGAACGGGUGAGUAAUAUAUCGGAACGUACCCUGGAGUGGGGGAUAACGUAGCGAAAGUUACGCUAAUACCGCAUACGAUCUACGGAUGAAAGUGGGGGAUCGCAAGACCUCAUGCUCGUGGAGCGGCCGAUAUCUGAUUAGCUAGUUGGUAGGGUAAAAGCCUACCAAGGCAUCGAUCAGUAGCUGGUCUGAGAGGACGACCAGCCACACUGGAACUGAGACACGGUCCAGACUCCUACGGGAGGCAGCAGUGGGGAAUUUUGGACAAUGGGCGAAAGCCUGAUCCAGCAAUGCCGCGUGAGUGAAGAAGGCCUUCGGGUUGUAAAGCUCUUUUGUCAGGGAAGAAACGGUGAGGGCUAAUAUCUCUUGCUAAUGACGGUACCUGAAGAAUAAGCACCGGCUAACUACGUGCCAGCAGCCGCGGUAAUACGUA